AAGAAAUAAAAGUUUGUUUUCUUCUAAAGGAAUUCAAUAUGGUUGAAGGUAUUGGCUAAACAAUGCAUACUCCCAAAAUGGGGUGUCUCUUUCAUCAGAUCAAGAAGGCAGAAAUAACUCUAUUACAAUGUGUAUUUCUGGAUUCUGGGGAUGGCAUGCCCUUCAGAAACCUCUGAUGUUAUUCUACUUUAGGCUUUUGAUUUCCCAGACUCGAGCUCUCAGCUCACUGCUCCGGCUGUCAUGCCUGCUGCUUACAUUGAUGAGUGCCUACCAUGGUGGACUCUCAUGCUUCAGAAACCAUAAAGC
rnacentral:lncRNA from 1 species